GAAUCUUCCGCAAUGCGCGAAAGCGUGACGGAGCAAUGCCGCGUGCAGGAUGAAGCCCUUCGGGGUGUAAACUGCUGUCAGGUUUUAGCAAGAAAGUGAGCAAGACCAAAGGAAGAGACGACUAACUCUGUGCCAGCAGUCGCGGUAAUACAGAGGUCUCGAGCGUUCAACGGAUUCAUUGGGCUUAAAGCGUACGUAGGCGGGUGUGCAGGCGUCGUGUGAAAGCCCUCGGCUCAACCGAGGAAUUGCACGGCGAACCGCACAUCUUGAGACAAGUAGGGGCGGUCGGAACGAUAGGUGGAGUGGUGAAAUGCGUUGAUAUCUAUCGGAACGCCGAUGGUGAAGACAGGCCGCUGGGCUUGUUCUGACGCUGAGGUACGAAAGCAUGGGUAGCGAACGGG
rnacentral:rRNA from 1 species